GAUGAACGCUGGCGGCGUGCCUAAUACAUGCAAGUCGAGCGAACAGACGAGGAGCUUGCUCCUCUGACGUUAGCGGCGGACGGGUGAGUAACACGUGGAUAACCUACCUAUAAGACUGGGAUAACUUCGGGAAACCGGAGCUAAUACCGGAUAAUAUAUUGAACCGCAUGGUUCAAUAGUGAAAGACGGUUUUGCUGUCACUUAUAGAUGGAUCCGCGCCGCAUUAGCUAGUUGGUAAGGUAACGGCUUACCAAGGCAACGAUGCGUAGCCGACCUGAGAGGGUGAUCGGCCACACUGGAACUGAGACACGGUCCAGACUCCUACGGGAGGCAGCAGUAGGGAAUCUUCCGCAAUGGGCGAAAGCCUGAUGGAGCAACGCCGCGUGAGUGAUGAAGGUCUUCGGAUCGUAAAACUCUGUUAUUAGGGAAGAACGAAUGUGUAAGUAACUAUGCACGUCUUGACGGUACCUAAUCAGAAAGCCACGGCUAACUACGUG
rnacentral:rRNA from 1 species